UCGUAACAAGGUUUCCGUAGGUGAACCUGCGGAAGGAUCAUUACUGAUUUGCUUAAUUGCACCACAUGUGUUUUGUUCUGGACAAACUUGCUUUGGCGGUGGGCCCCUGCCUGCCGCCAGAGGACAUAAACUUACAACCAAAUUUUUUAUAAACUUGUCACGAGAUUAUUUUUAAUAGUCAAAACUUUCAACAACGGAUCUCUUGGUUCUCGCAUCGAUGAAGAACGCAGCGAAAUGCGAUACGUAAUAUGAAUUGCAGAUAUUCGUGAAUCAUCGAAUCUUUGAACGCACAUUGCGCCCUCUGGUAUUCCGGAGGGCAUGCCUGUUUGAGCGUCGUUUCUCCCUCAAACCCCUAGGGUUUGGUGUUGAGCAAUACGACUUGGGUUUGCUUGAAAGAUGAUAGUGGUAUAAGGCGGAGAUGCUUGACAAUGGCUUAGGUGUAACCAAAAACAUUGCUAAGGCGGUCUCUGGCGUCGCCCAUUUUAUUCUUCAAACUUUGACCUCAAAUCAGGUAGGACUACCCGCUGAACUUAAGCAUAUC
rnacentral:misc_RNA from 1 species